rnacentral:lncRNA from 1 species
ACCUACAAGGUCAACAAAUCCCUAAUUCUCUCUCCAAUCAAGUGCGCUCUCCCCAGCCUGUCCCUUCUCCUCGACCACAGUCUCAGCCCCCCCAUUCCAGCCCAUCUCCGAGGAUGCAGCCUCAGCCUUCUCCACACCAUGUUUCUCCACAGACCAGUUCCCCACAUCCUGGACUGGUAGCUGCCCAGGCUGCCAACCCUAUGGAACAAGGGCAUUUUGCCAGCCCAGACCAGAAUUCAAUGCUUUCACAGCUCGCUAGCAAUCCUGGCAUGGCAAACCUCCACGGGGCAAGUGCCACGGACCUGGGACUGAGCAGCGAUAAUGCAGACUUGAAUUCAAACCUCUCACAGAGUACACUAGACAUACACUAGAGACACCUUGUAGUAUUUUGGAAGCAAAAGAUUAUUUUCUCUUAACAAGACUUUUUGUACUGAAAACAAUUUUUUUGAAUCUUUCUUAGCCUAAAAGACCCAUUUUCCUUGGAACAUGUAAGAACUGUGCAGUAGCCAUUUAUGGUUUAAAGUAAACAGGCCAGAUGAACCUGAGGGAUAAUAGAUUACAAAGAAUAUAUUUUUGUUAUGGCUGGUUACCCCAGCUCUUUUUCCCCUUGUGUGUGUGGUUCAAGUGUGCACUGGGAGGCAACUGAGGUCUGAAGCCAACCAUAUGCUCCUGCCUUGCCGAUAGGUUUUAUUAUUUUUUUUAAAUUAAUGAAAAUAUGUAAUAUUAAUAGUUAUUAUUUACUGGUGCAGAUGGUUGACAUUUUUCCCUAUUUUCCUCACUUUAUGAAAGAAUUUAAAUAAAAAAAAAGAACAUUUCUAAAACCAGAGGACAAAAGGGGUUAAUGUUACGUAAAAUUACAUUAUAUAUAUAUAUAUAUAUAAAUAUAUAUAAAUAUAUUAAAAUACCAAUUUUUUUCUCUGGGUGCAAAGAUGUUCAUUCUUUUAAAAACAUUUAAAAAAUAAAAUAAAAAGCCUCCUCUUUCCAUCCCUCAAGUCAACUUUUGUGCUCCAGAAAAUUUUCUAUUCUGUAAGUCUAAGGGUAAAACUUCAAGUAUUAAGAUAAUUUGUACAUGUAGAGAAAAAAAUGACUUUUUCAUAAUAUACAGGGGCAGCUGCCAAAUUGAUGUAUUAUAAUAUUGUGGUUUCUGUUUCUUGAGAAAAAUUUUUUGUUAUUUUUACAUCUAACAG